rnacentral:lncRNA from 1 species
GCCAUUUUCGAGUGAUGCCUGAUCUCAUCAAUCUAGCGGGAGGGAAGGGAUAACCUGUCCGAGCCUAGCGCGACGCUAGGAUCACGCCGGAAAAUCCCCCAAAAAUCAUCAAAAAAAUUAACUUAGAGCAGAGGGCAGUCGGUGGGGCUUCGCCAGAUGCGGCGCAGUCGGUAAGAGCCUCAAGUAGCGAAGCGGGUCUCGAGAGGUGGCAGCGAUGGGACCGGAGGACCGUGAGGGGAGCAGGGACCGGACUCGGGGUCUGCCCUCACUUUCGCGGCAGAAGCUCCCCCAGGGGAUCCGGUUGCUAUUUUAACCAUUAGAAGAAUACCAGUUCUGGAAAACAACCAAAGUUUCUUUGAUUGAAUGCCCAUGUAAUGCAUUGGAAUAUGAUAGGCGAUUAAGGUUUAACAAUGUUAAAAUGAAGAUAUUACUAAAAUGGCCCUCUAAAUAGCCCAACAAUUAUUAUUUUCUUUGUCCUAUGGAUUUGGCUUUGAAAGAUGUGCUGCUCUUAAUAAGUGUGUAGUCAUUAAACCCAGAACCUCAGAGGGCUCUACUACUAAACCAUAUACCAGUACCAAAACCGAAAAAUAUUGACGAUACUUUUGUGCUGAAUAUUCCUCAGCCUUAACUUACUAAUGCUUAUGCCCAAUGGAUCUUCCUUCAUGAAGUACCCUCUCCUCCCCCCCAUUUAUCUUUGGUGAUUUUAAUAAAUAAUACCUUUGGAAAAUGAUA